UCUCUCCCACUCUCACCCUCAUCGAAAUCAGAAACUCUAAUACUCAACCUCAUUCUCAGUGAACAACACUUUGUUCUCCUCUUCAAAUUAAUGGUUAUGGUUUCAUCUGCAUCGGCGAUUAUCUAAACCUUCUUAGUCAUUUUGAAACCCUCGUCUAUGAGAACCAUCACCUACUCUACAAAAGCCCCAUGAAACCCCGUGUCGCCCGUCAAACUCCAUGAGAGCUGGUACAUACAAUGUUCAGGAUCUCAACUACUCAACAACAUAACUCCAAGACUCAUUCGAUUGAUACUUCGUCGAAUCGAAACUCGCACUACAUGCUUAUUUUGCUGUCGCUACUAUUUUUGCUUAUGGAUAAACUAAUAGUGGAAAGACAUACACAAUGAGAGGAAUCACAUGAAAGGUUGUCAAUGAUAUUUAUAACCAUAUAAUGAAGAACUGUGUUGAUGUGGCUGGAAAUGAGAGGGAUGCUCAUACACAUGCAGAUGGAACUUGGCUCUAAGAAGGCUUCCAUAAUAACUUUAGCCUUAUGACCGCUUCUUUGAUAAUUAGACUAAGGAAGUUACAAAUAAUUCUCAAGUAAGCAUGGUAACUACCAAGAAGUCAAAUACUAUCUUCUUUGCUAAUCAGGAUAAAUAAGUUACAAAUAAUGCUCAAGUAAACAUGGUAACUACCAAGAAGUCAGAGCCCCCUUGAUGUUUUUAAUUACCUUCAAUAUAUCUCCUUUUACUACUAAAACAAAGCAUAUAAUCUUUUUAAAAUGCUUAGUAUAGGUGGUAUCAUAAAAGUAGCUUGUUAAAUAUUUGAAAAAGAAUUGGCUAGGCUAGAAGCAGUGCUUCACACUCCUGAUCCAUCUAAAGAAAAGGAUUGAAAAAUUUAACAGGUAAAUUGGAGAAUAAUAAUGAUGGUUAGGAACAAGAAUAACACCAUAGUACUGACUACUGAUAUUGUUUGCCUAUUAUUCUAGAUGGAAAUGAUUUUGAAUAGCUGAAAUGUCAGAUAGAUCAAAUCAAGCACAAACUCAAGUCGGUGAGUUACGAAGAAAGCUUUAAGAAGAAUAAUAGAAUGAGGGUCUUUCUCGGAAAGUUGAUGAAAUCCCAGCUUGUUGUGCUAUAGUGAAUUAUGUGCUUGAAGACCAACCAACUAAAUAAAUGAAAGUUGUUUCCAUAUGUGCUCUUCCAAACCUUGUGAUGCACAGUCAAUGAAAUAAAAGAGAAAUUGCAGAGGUUGGUAGGGUUUAGGUUAUACUCAAUUUGAUUGGUUCAAGGGAUCCUGAUGCAUCUGUUCAAGCUACAAUGUUUGUUAAACUUAUUUGUUCAAAUCAUACUAUUCAAGAGUAUGCUUCUAGUGAAAUAGUCAGAGCGAUAACUGCUGUUGUUGAAAAGGAUUUACGGGCUACUGAAACUAUGAACGAUGAGUAUCUUAAAGCUUUAAAAUAUCUAUUUAGCAACUGCCUGCAACUAAACUUGAUGCCCUCAAUGUUGGGUAGCUUAUGAGUUCCUCUGACUUGGUGUUUUUUAGUGGUUCUACUGCUGUUUUUGUUAUGUGGAAGUCUUGCAUUUAUGUUGCAGUAUACUUGUUUUGAUUUGGUUGUAAUGUUUUCUUAUUAGAUAUAUGAUUAAUUUGUCAUUACACUUUUUUUUAUCAAUACAAGAUUUAUUAAUUUCUUAAUUUACUAUUUUGAUUUAUAUUUUCAUUUCAAGAAAAAUAAUGUUAUUACUUUUUUAAGUAUAUUAAAUCACUAAAACAAAUUUAAUGUAUAAAAAUGCCUAUAAUAGCGCUUUUUUUGAAAACGUUAUUAAAGAUAGGGAUCUAGGAUAGCAUUUUCGAGUAAAGUGCUUUUUAAUAAAUAAGCCUAACAUAGCGCUUUGUCAGAAAAGCGCUAUUAAAUAUUAGCAUUAAAUCAAACGUUUGAAAAGUGAUAUUAAAAAGAUAAUUUAAUAGCGCUUAAAAAGCGCUAUCUUAGGUAGCAAACCUAUAAUAACGAGAGCUUUAAUAGCGCUUAAAAGCGCUAUUAAAUCAUCAAAAAGCGCUAUUAAAUAUUGUUUUUGGCAUAGUGGUUGUUGUUGUUAUUAAGUUGUGAUGAUUAAGUUGUUACGUUGAUUUAAUAAGUGGCUUGUUGUUGUUACUAAGUGGUUUGUUGGUUGUUGUAUAGUUGCUGUUAUGAAGUUGUGAAAUUUGUAUGAUCCUGAUCUAAUAUAUCGUUUAUCAUACACCUGCUUAUAUUGGUUGAUAUCUCACCUCUUCUGUUGUGAUGUUGCCUCUACG